GUGAGUCAUCGAAUCUUUGAACGCACAUUGCGCCCCUUGGUAUUCCGAGGGGCAUGCCUGUUCGAGCGUCAUUACAACCCUCAAGCACUGCUUGGUAUUGGGCCCCGCUGCUAACGCUGCGGGCCUUAAAAUCAGUGGCGGCGCCGCUGGGCUCUGAGCGUAGUAAAUUUCCUCGCUACGGAGUCCUGGCGGCGGUGGUCAUCAACCCCCCAACUUUCUAAGUUUGACCUCGGAUCAGGUAGGGAUACCCGCUGAACUUAAGCAUAUCAAUAAGCGGAGGA
rnacentral:misc_RNA from 1 species